rnacentral:rRNA from 2 species
GCUGACGAGUGGCGGACGGGUGAGUAAUGUCUGGGAAACUGCCUGAUGGAGGGGGAUAACUACUGGAAACGGUGGCUAAUACCGCAUAACGUCGCAAGACCAAAGAGGGGGACCUUCGGGCCUCUUGCCAUCAGAUGUGCCCAGAUGGGAUUAGCUUGUUGGUGAGGUAACGGCUCACCAAGGCGACGAUCCCUAGCUGGUCUGAGAGGAUGACCAGCCACACUGGAACUGAGACACGGUCCAGACUCCUACGGGAGGCAGCAGUGGGGAAUAUUGCACAAUGGGCGCAAGCCUGAUGCAGCCAUGCCGCGUGUAUGAAGAAGGCCUUCGGGUUGUAAAGUACUUUCAGCGGGGAGGAAGGUGUUGUGGUUAAUAACCGCAGCAAUUGACGUUACCCGCAGAAGAAGCACCGGCUAACUCCGUGCCAGCAGCCGCGGUAAUACGGAGGGUGCAAGCGUUAAUCGGAAUUACUGGGCGUAAAGCGCACGCAGGCGGUCUGUCAAGUCGGAUGUGAAAUCCCCGGGCUCAACCUGGGAACUGCAUUCGAAACUGGCAGGCUUGAGUCUUGUAGAGGGGGGUAGAAUUCC